rnacentral:tRNA from 1 species
GCAUCUUUAGUUUAAGAAAAACGGUUCAAUUUCGUUGAGAUAAUGGGGUCACUCCAAGAAGUG